rnacentral:lncRNA from 1 species
AAAGUACUUGUGGAACCGAGACAGGCCAGGUUUCCGGUGAUCGUGGUGGAAAGGAAUAUCCAAGUGUUGACAAGCAGAAACCUGAUGAGAAAGGUUAAUAAAUAUAAUAUUUUGUUGCAUAUAUGUUGGAAUUCCAAUGAACAAUUGCAGAAAACAACAUGUUUUAGCAUCAGUAUUUCUAAAUUAUGUUUAUAUAUACUACUGUAUUGAAUCGGUUCAGAAGAAGAUAUUACUGUAAAUGAUGAAACUGAGGAACAAUCCUCACAAGAAGCUGCUAAUACAGAUGAAACAAAUGCAGAAGCUUGCCAAGUUCCGGCAGGUGGAGAUGAAAGUAAUCGUGGAACUGAGACAGGCCAGGUUUCUGGUGAUCGUGGUGGAAUGGAAUAUCCAAGUGUUGAUAAACAGACACCUGAUGAGAAAGGUUAAUAAACAUAUGUUGCAAUUCCAAUGAACUAAUGCAGAAACAACAUAUUUCAGCAUCAGUUUUUCUAAAUUAUGUUUAUAUAUGCUACUGUAUAUCACUGGUGCAGAAGAAGAUAUUACUGUAAAUGAUGAAACUGAGGAACAAUCCUCACAAGAAGCUGCUAGCACAGAUGUAUUAGAUAGACAAGUUCAACUACUUCCUGUAGUUGAAGAUAAAGCUACUCAUGGGAAUCAAAUAGGCUUUGUUACUAGUGAUCCCAAGGGAACCGCAGAUCUUAAUGGUGACAAUCCGAAAGAGCAUGAGAAAGGUUAGUAAAUGCAGUGUUUUAUUUACCAAUAUUUGGUUGUCUAUUUACCAGGCACUUCCUAAAUGAAUUUGUUUCUCUGUAUAUGAUGAUGAUGAUUGGUGUAGAAGAAGAUACUAACAUGAUUCAAGUAGAUAAGGAAAAUUCCAUGAAAGAAGCUGGUUAUGCAGAUGAUGCAGAAGGACAAGAUCAUUUAGUUCCAGCAGCUGAGGAUAAAAAUACUCGGGGAAACGAGACGGAAUCAGUUUCUCUUGAACAUGAUGGCCUAGCAUCUCCCCAUAUUGAGGACUCGGAGCACGAAGAGAAAGGUUAGUAUAUAUUUUGAUUGCUGAUAUCUAGUUGGCUAUUCAGGCUUACUAAGAGAUAUUUUUUCGACUUACAACGAUGAUGGAUCCAUGCAGAACAAGAUACUAGCACAAUUCUUGAAGUAGAGGAAAUACCCCUGAAAGAAGCUGCUAUUACAGAUGAAACAAAUGCAGAAGCUCGCCUAGCUCCUGCAGGUGGAGAUGAGAGUACUCAUGGAACUGAGACAGGGCUGGUUUUCGAUGAUCAUGAUGGAACGGAAUAUCCAUGUAUUGACAAGCAGAAACAUGAUGAGAAAGGUUAAUAAAUAUAACGUUUCUGUGCCUAUAUGUCACUAUUCCAAUGAACUAAUGCAGAAAACCAUGUUUCAGCAUCAGUGUUUCUAAAUUAUGUUUACAUAUCCGUACCAUAUUGAAUUGGUGCAGAAGAUAUUACCAUAAAUGAUGAAGCUGCAGAACGAUCCUCAC